AGGUUCUUCUGUGAUAUGUUUUCAUGGUGUGGGAAUAAGACUUGGUGGUCUAAUACAACUAAUACAAAGGUUAGCAUCACAGCUUGUCUGUAAGGAUUGAAGCUGGGAGUGGGCAUUGGAGCGGACUUUUAUGAUAACUUUGGCUGCAUAAGAUGGUAGUGUUAUAUAACUGCAACAGUACAGAAUGUAAUUCAGACUAUUUUUGUGUAUGCUCGAAAAAAUGUUUAUAUUUUUAAUUGUAAAGAUUCUCCAUUUUCAACAAGAUUGGAAGUUGAAGGUUUACUUAUGUAUUUGGCUUUACAAAAAUUCUUUCUAUUUUCCAUUUAUACUUAUGUCUAGUCAUAACACUUCCAGCAGUUUAAGAAUGGAGAAUCUAAAAAAGAAAAAAAGAAAAAAGAAAGAAAGAAAAGAAAAAAAAUGUUCAAUUAUUGAAAUGUAUUUUUUUUGCAAAUUGUAAUGUAUAUAGUUUGCCAUAUUUUUGUUAUUUUAGGAUUUGAGAUACUUUCAAAUUUUAUAAGUUACUUUGUACAUGUAGUUGAUGCAAUCAAAUCUGCCGAUGUAAAUAUUCUCACUUAAUUUCAUAGCAAAAUUUUUACUUAUUUUGGGUUUUUUUUGGCAAAAAGUUUCACAAUACCUUACCAUAGCAAAUGCCUCUCUAGUGUACACUUAGACGUCAAAAUUUUACGGGAACCUGUGUGAUAUCCAGUAAUGGCGGACAAAUAGGGAUAAGGUGUAUGGUCUGCACUUCAUGUAUCCCCUUACAACCUUUUUUCAUGUUAAUUGUAAUAUCUUUAAGAUAUGUGACAAGGGUGCGCUAAUGCAGAGGAAUUUAUGAAGUUAAUAAGUUAGAAAUAUAUUUUUUGCAUUUUUUUGUCAUUUUAGCUGAUUUUGGUCUGUAACCAAGGUGUUAUUUUGAAAGAAUAAUUUUACAAAAGGUAUUAUUUGAAGAACAUCUUGUUGAAAUUGGAUUGGUUGUUUUUUUGGUGAUAAACACCUUUUUAACAUAACUUUUAGUAUUAUUUUGGCUGUAAAUUUUUAUUUGUGGAGACCGCCAGAGUACACGUUGUAGACGGAUGAGCAAACA